rnacentral:rRNA from 1 species
GAUGAACGCUGACAGAAUGCUUAACACAUGCAAGUCAACUUGAAUUUGGGUUUUUAACUUAGGUUUGGGUGGCGGACGGGUGAGUAACGCGUAAAGAACUUGCCUCACAGCUAGGGACAACAUUUGGAAACGAAUGCUAAUACCCAAUAUUAUGAUAAUAGGGCAUCCUAUAAUUAUGAAAGCUAUAAGCGCUGUGAGAGAGCUUUGCGUCCCAUUAGCUAGUUGGAGAGGUAACGGCUCACCAAGGCGAUGAUGGGUAGCCGGCCUGAGAGGGUGAUCGGCCACAAGGGGACUGAGACACGGCCCUUACUCCUACGGGAGGCAGCAGUGGGGAAUAUUGGACAAUGGACCAAGAGUCUGAUCCAGCAAUUCUGUGUGCACGAUGAAGUUUUUCGGAAUGUAAAGUGCUUUCAGUUGGGAAGAAAGAAAUGACGGUACCAACAGAAGAAGUGACGGCUAAAUACGUG